AAAAUCUAAUGUGUUACAUACUAAAUAUUCUGGGUAUAUACGUACUAAAAAAUCAAUGAGUGUGUAAUAAAUAAAUGAAUCCGUACAUAUCUAAUCUGAUUGAUACACACUAAAUAUUCUGGGUAUAUACAUAGAUAAAAAUCUAAUCUAUACGUACUAAAUAUUCAGGGUAUAUACAUAGAUAAAAAUCUAAUGUGUACGUACUAAAUAUUCUGGGUAUAUGUGUAUUAAAAUUUAACGGGUACAUUCUAAACAGAUGAAAUCAUAUAUACAUACUAAAUAUUCUGGGUAUAUAUGUAUAAAAAUUUAACGGGUACAUACUAAACAGAUGAAUUCAUAUAUACCUAAUUUGUAAUAUAUCUAAUGUGUAGUAUUUUUUCCUUCUAAAGAUAUAUGUUACCAUGCAUGGCGUGUUUAAUGACAUCCAUUUAUGAUAUGCAUUAUAAUUGUUUCCAUAUUACUUGUUUAAGAAUUGGCAAUUAGUAAUGGAUUGACUAGUUACCUUCUAUACCUAUCACAAUAAUACGCAUCUAAAUGCAAUCAAACGGUGGAAAUGCAAGAAGCCUGCGCACCUAGGUGUCCCAUACUGCCGUCGGCGCGGUGGACUUGUUCCUGAACUCCUGAAAUCUGCAGCGACAAGAAAAAAAACCCGACCCCGGCUUCUCUAUCGCGCGCAGUCCUGAGACCCACCUUACCCGCUGGCACAGCCACCCGCGUCACCGAUCCCCUCGCGCCACCCCACCUCCACCUAACUCCGGCCACCUACCGCUGCUGCGCUGCCACGCGAGAUCCCACCGCCGCGCGAGAUCCCGCCGCCCAUGCCGCUGCGCGAGAUCCCUCCGCCGUCGGGCGACAUCUUCCCGCCGUCGCGCGAGACCCGUCCGCCGGCGCCCCACCACCGCGCUCCGCAGGACCGGUUGUCCCCUCCCCUGCCGCUCAGUUCAACUUCGCCGGCCAACGAGGUCCACCACGUCGUCUGGGUUCCAAUCCAACCCGCCGUCCGGCACGGCCAAGUUCCUCCACCCAUCGUGGCUACUACCAGGACCACCGCCUGCCCAGUCGUUGUGGCAUGUGGCUGCCUAGCACAUCGACGCCCCCAGACGUAUUUGCAGGUGCAAAAAAGUUAGAUGUAGUGAUAUGUUUGUUCAGUUUCACAGGUACUUCGGUAUUGGGAAAAAAUGAGUUUUCUUCUCCAAAAUGCAUCAACACCGUGAAGUGCUAAUUCUUCUUGUGUGCUUCUAUAGAGUCUUGUGUUUCAGUCACCACCAUGACGAACCAGCUCGGCCUAUUUUGCAGAAGCAAGUCACACGAUAGUUUUUAGGAGGAAUGUAUUUCAUAGGUAAUAGGGAAUCAAGGUUCAGAGAGAUUUUUUUUAGCACAUUCAGAGAGCUUUUUCAGUGCACUGCAGCCAAACCCGUUAUGAAGGCCAAACUGCUGAUGUUUGGUUUUGAUUUUAUUUUACAAACAAAGUUGCUAGCAGCAGUAGAUCUUGGGAUUUGGGCACACAAGGAAGAAGACGAAAAGAAAAAUGGUGAGUUGGGAUUGCAUGUUCAUUGCUCAGAAGGAUAAGAUCCUUUUUGGUUUUAUCUAGAGAACUCCUAGUGGGGUAAAAAAAGCAGCUUAAUGGUUUGCUCUGUUUAAUGGUCUGCUUCACAGACUAACUUCUUCAUUGUUUCUUUUUGUAUGAGCAUCAGACUUGAUUUAAAUGUGAGGCGGUUCGCUGACAGUAAUUUUGCCAGUUCAAUAAUAUAUGUACAAGUUGACCUCCUAGCGAUAUAUAUGCAUAGGAAUUUUGUUCUCCGUUUUGUUUAUUGGUGCAUGCGAGAUGUUUUUCAUGUUAUGAACAUAUUGGUUCGCGAGAAGUUCAUGUACGACUACCGAAGGAGUUCAAAAAGCACUCAUCGCGAAGAGAAGAGGUGAGCAGCGCACUGGCCGUUCAACUUUGCCACCUCAGGCCGUGCAACUCCGCCCAUGUGAGCAAAGGGGGGCUAGUUUCUUCUUAACUGUUUAUUCUGCACUUGUACGGUGCAUUUUGUCUCAGUUUUUAGGUGAUUUUUUGCUUUACUUACAUUGUGUUCAACAGGGUACAAAAGUUUGCCUACAAACUGUUCUUGUAUGUCUGUAAGAGCUGAUGUUGUGCUACUGCCAUGAGAAAAUGGAGCUUUUUUAGAGUUGUUUUUCUGUAAGUACAUGUGAAGACUUCGGCAUGUAAGAAUGGAGCUUUUUUCAUAGUGAAAAGUGGUAUUUUUGGUGUA